rnacentral:rRNA from 2 species
GGGGAAUAUUGCACAAUGGAGGGAACUCUGAUGCAGCAACGCCGCGUGAAGGAAGAAGGUUUUCGGAUCGUAAACUUCUAUCAAAAGGGACGAAAAAGAUGACGGUACCUUAAUAAGAAGCCCCGGCUAACUACGUGCCAGCAGCCGCGGUAAUACGUAGGGGGCAAGCGUUAUCCGGAAUUACUGGGUGUAAAGGGAGCGUAGGCGGCAUGGUAAGUUAGAUGUGAAAGCCCGGGGCUUAACCCCGAGGAUUGCAUUUAAAACUAUUAAGCUAGAGUACAGGAGAGGAAAGCGGAAUUCCUAGUGUAGCGGUGAAAUGCGUAGAUAUUAGGAAGAACACCAGUGGCGAAGGCGGCCUUCUGGGCCACGACUGACGCUGAGGCGCGAAAGCUGGGGGAGCGAACA